UACGUAGGGUGCAAGCGUUGUCCGGAAUUAUUGGGCGUAAAGAGCUCGUAGGCGGUUUGUCGCGUCGGCUGUGAAAUCCUGGGGCUUAACUCCGGGCCUGCAGUCGAUACGGGCAGACUUGAGUGUGGUAGGGGAGACUGGAAUUCCUGGUGUAGCGGUGAAAUGCGCAGAUAUCGGGAGGAACACCUGCGGCGAAAGCGGCUCACUGGACCAUAACUGACGCUGAUGCACGAAAGCUAGGGGAGCAAACAGG
rnacentral:rRNA from 1 species